rnacentral:rRNA from 1 species
UACGUAGGGUGCAAGCGUUAAUCGGAAUUACUGGGCGUAAAGCGUGCGCAGGCGGUUUUUGUAAGUCUGUCGUGAAAUCCCCCGGGCUCAACCUGGGAAUUGCGAUGGAGACUGCAAGGCUAGAAUCUGGCAGAGGGGGGUAGAAUUCCACGUGUAGCAGUGAAAUGCGUAGAGAUGUGGAGGAACACCGAUGGCGAAGGCAGCCCCCCUGGGUCAAGAUUGACGCUCAUGCACGAAAGGCGUGGGGAGCAAACAGG